UAUUGAUGGGUGUUUAACAAUGUAUUUAGGGAUUAAUUACUGAGUCACGUGAAAAUGUUGAUCCUGAUGCUCGCCCAUUUGCCAGAAAGAUCAAGGAGAUUGAACGUCAAGGACUAAGAGAAGGUGCAACUCUCGCAGAAGUGGUACACCAAGUGAAGCCAGAUGUACUUCUUGGUUUAUCUGCUGUUGGAGGCUUGUUUU